CGGUCGCACGCCUGAACCUCAAAGGAAUUUGACGGGAGCCCACACAAGCGCUGGAGCACGUGCGUUUAAUUGUGACGCAACGAGAAGAACCUUGCCCAGGCUUGACCUGCAGACGCCUUCGUAUGAAAGUAGGCUUAACAAAGGAUGUCUGUAGAGGUGCUGCAUGGCUGUCGUCAGCUCGUGUCGUGAGAUGUUGUGUUAAGUCCCGCAACGAGCGCAACCCUUGUCUUCUCUUGCCAUUGGGUCAAGCCGGCACUCUGAAGAGAUUGCCGGUGACAAACCGGAGGAAGGUGGGGAUGAGGUCAAGUCAGCAUGGCCUUUAUGUGUGGGGCUACCCACGUGUUACAAUGGCCGGUACAAACUGUCGCAAACUCGCAAGGGUGAGCUAAUUGGAGAAAGCCGGUCUCAGUUCGGAUUGUAGGCUGCAAGUCUCCUGCAUGAAGUUGGAAUCGCUAGUAAUCGCGGAUCAGCACGCCGCGGUGAAUACGUUCCCGGGCCUUGUACACACCGCCCGUCACAUCAUGAAAGCUGGCUGUACUAGAAGUCGCUGAGCGAACCCGCAAGGGACGCAGGCGCCUAAGGUAUGGUCAGUGAUUGGGGUGAAGUCGUAACAAGGUAACCAAC
rnacentral:rRNA from 1 species